rnacentral:tRNA from 1 species
GGGGCUGUAGCUCAGAGGACAGAGCACUGGCCUCCGGAGCCAGGUGUCGGGGGUUCAAAUCCCCCCAGCCCUA